UAGAUGGGAUAUAAAUGAAUAUAUUGCCUAGAACCUAGAGUGUGUAGAGUAUACUGUAGAUGGGAUAUAAAUGAAUAUAUUGCCUAGAACCUAGAGUGUGUAGAGUAUACUGUAGAUGAGGAAAAUAAUCUCUACUGUAUUGAGGACUUCUACCAGGUUUUUUCCCCACGUUGUUCAAAAUGUUUCCAUAGAAUCCUUCCUGUUCAAGAUACUAAUAUUACAAUAAGGGUUAGAUCAGAUCAAUCAGAUUUCCACAUGAACUGCUUCAGAUGUGAUGAUUGUUGUACACCACUUUCUGAUCAGGCGGGUCGGGAAUGUUUUCCUAUUGGGUCAAGUUUACUUUGCCAGGAUUGUCACGUGAAGAGAAUAUCUAGAGAGAAACCUGGAGUCGUCAAAAUAUUAAACUAAAUAUUUCUAAGUAAUCCGUGUAAAACAGUAUUUAGUACUGUAGGUUUUGAGUUUCUAAUUUCUUCCGGAUAAAUUUGGAUGAUUUGGAUCCGCACCAGGCCUUAGGAAAACUUUCAGGAAGCUGUUUAAUAGUAAACAAUUUAAAAAUGUUGGAAAUUAAGAGCGGAAUGUUUCGUAACAGAUUUUCAAAUAAAUCUACCUCUCAUAUGAUAUACAGAGCUUACGGAUGAUUAUUUCACAAGGAAUAAUCGUCCCGUAAACUUUGUUCAGCAUGUCACAUCCAGCUCUGUUUAGCAUCUAAGAGGUACAUUUGUUUUUGAUUUGUGGUUUUUCAUUUUCUUUCUAACUUUAACCUCGUUGGUCAGGGAUGAUAGUUCUGUACACUUUAACCUCGUUGGUCAGGGAUGAUAGUUCUGUUCACUUUAACUUUGUUGGUCAGGGAUGUUAGUUCUGUACACUUUAACCUCGUUGGUCAGGGAUGAUAGUUCUGUACACUUUAACCUCAUUGGUCAGGGAUGAUAGUUCUGUACACUUUAACCUCGUUGGUCAGGGAUGAUAGUUCUGUACACUUUAACCUCGGUAUAACUGUAAAUAUUGUAGAGAAGGGUGACAAACAAAAAAAUUAAAGUCAGAAUAUCAAAGGUAAAUAGGUUCUAUGGGUAAUGUCAACCCUUAGUAUUGAAAUGCAAAAAAAAAGUUUUUCUCUAACUUAAUGAACUUAGGUGGAAGAGGUGUCGUAACAAUCUUGAUUUUUGUUAAGGAUAGGGAGACAAUUCGCUUUUUGUACAGGGUUACCCUCAGAGGAUGAUACAUGUAAGGAUUUUAUACAAAUUGGUUUUCUUACAAAGAAAUUUUUUUUUCUUCUGGUAACCCUGUAUAUAUAUAAUAUAUAUCUAUAUAUUUAGCACAGGGUUCAUAUCUAUCUGUUUAGUACAAAAUAUUCCAACAUCUUUAUAUUUCAAUAUAUCUAUCUAAAAAACUUGGAAAAGUCCGUUUUUUCAUUCAAAAUUUUAGUGUGAAAAUUUUGUUUUUUUUUACGCAACAUAGAUUUAAAUCAUUUACCUAAAAUCUAAUACGAAGAAUCUGAGUGCUAAACACUGUAGAAUAUAAAUAUUCUAUAUUAUAUAUUAAAUAUGUACUCCUUGUUUUACAACUAUUUCGUGGUAAUUUUAAUUGUUAAAUAUUUCUUAAAUCGAAAAAAUAUUGUAAAAGUUAAAAGUGAGUAUUUUUAAAGUAAGGUU